GGACUUGUUUCAAUUGCUUACUGAAGGAGAGCGUGCUGGGCAGAGCUGCCCUGAGCCAGCGCCACAAUCCCAGCUGGGAGAAUUCACCCCUCGUCUGUGCUAAUAUUAAAAACAUGCUGGAUGGUUCAGUUUUAAGCCCGGUUAUCUUUCUCACUGCAUAGUUUGACACAAUUGCGUGGCAGGAUGUCUGCAGAGGUCAGAUGGGAAUAAUAGAGGUGUUAGUCACUCCAGAAAAGGAAUUAAAUUGUGCCAGCGUGCUUGCAUGGUUACUUCUGGUGCUGCUGUAGGGCAAGCUGCUAGGUCUUGUCUUGCGAAAGUUUCUGCAUUUUUACAGGAAAGGAUAGCUGACAUUUUUUACAUUUUCAUCUGCCUUUCAUAGCGGGGCAGCACGCCUGGGCCGCAGCUGCUGUGAGAAGGGCGAUGCCCCCUUGCACAGAUGGAAAAUAGGAGCAUGGUCCCUGGGCUGUGUGUGCAGGUGACACCAUGCAGGCAAAGAAAGAGUGACCGAGGAUGUCCUCAGCAUGAAACAAGCUGCAGAGCAGGGCACGCAGGCUCGCCCUCACACGUCCACCCGAAGCUGCUAUGGAAGGAAGGGACCGAGCUGACGCCGGCAGAAGGGAAUGGCAGUUCUGGAAAUGUCCCUUCCCAAUGGCCCCGUCUGCCUGGCCACCAGCAGUGGAGGCAGAGCUUUGCAUGAGGACUUGCAGGGCUCUGAGACCUUCGCUGGCUCCUGGUGGGAGAUCACACUCAGACAACCCCGAGCACCCCCCUGCACUGGCAGCCUAUGGAUAAAAUCUGGGUGGGUGACUUAAGAGCCUCAAAAAUUGCCAUGGUGAGUAAUCCUCCAAGAUUUGAAGUUACUCGUGUAAACACGGGCUUGACAAAUACUGUCUUUUACAAAAAAUAAAAAUAAAAAAUAA